rfam:Vigna angularis cultivar Jingnong 6 scaffold35_54, whole genome shotgun sequence.
GUGAAUGAUGAUACGCACUGGGCUCUGAGCAGAUUUAACUGCCCUGCGGUUUAAACUGCAUUUUUGAUGGAAUUGCUUAGCCUAGAAAGCUAUGUCUGACUA